CAUUUUGGCACAACCCAGGAAACCCCUUAGAGAGAAGACAAUGCAUUGUUUGUAAAUCAAGCGGCAUGUUUGCUCCUAACAGGCUAUAAAAGUCGUUUGUAUAACUGCUGUUAAAAUGGUCUAGAAGUGUUGAUAGCCUCAACAUUAAGACUGAGGUCUUGUUUGUUUGCUUUAAGGAAACACACUGGCAGGCCCCUAAAUAAUGAAGACUAUGUUUAAAUUAUUGAGCAAUUAUUUCCAGAGCCUAAUGCAUUUCUAACAAUGUCAACACCCU
rnacentral:lncRNA from 1 species